UAACCUGACGUUUAACUGUAUUUGGUACGCGUGCGGAAAGGAAACUAUCUCCAGCUCGCGGUACGUCGACAAGGAAGUAAUAUUUCCGACGACGUUACUGGGGCGUGCUAAGUUUUGUUACAAGAUACCACCGUCAGUGUUUUAAAUGUAGACAUUAGUCAGUUAAUGUUUAUCGGUCAAAGACGGAGGUUAGGAACGCGAGGAUGUCGGACGCGAGAGAUCUUAAUUGGACCAUAAUUCAUCGGCAGUCUUUCUUGCGGCCAGGUAAUGCCGUGCCGUUCUUUUUCCGGUCGUAUUCUUGUUCUUCUCGCUUCCUUACGCAUGCAGAUGCGUGUUCGCCGAUGAUUCUGCGAUACGCGGAACUUUGCGUGACGCAGUUCCAGCAGAAUUGGAUUUAUACUGAAAGAGAAAAAACACGAAAUAAUAAACAGGAACGCCGAUGAGGAUAUCCGACGUGGAAUAAACAAUAAACUAUCUAUUGCAUUGUGCGUAUCCGAAACGCUCCUCGGAAUUCCAUUUCCCAGAGGAGGGUGAGAUGGUGCUGAAAGGACACCUCCUUGUCAAAUCCGGCCAAAACUCAUGAGAGGAGAAUUGAUGGUGUCGCGAACGUGGCUAGAAUCCUGUUUGCAGUACCUACACGGACGUUUCCUGCCGACUCUUCCGGCCGCGCGUUUAACGGCUGUACAAAAACCAACGCGCGCCUGUUUUGUCCCCUUCCUGUCCGUUCGUUUUCGUGACCGGGCGCCGAUUGGCGAGGUUGCAGCUUCCGUCGAGGUGUCGGGCAGGAGGCGACGGUGCCAGGGGAGAAGAAAUUCCUGGUAACUUUCCCUCCUACGCAUGAACGGCCGCGAGGGGCGAGGAGAGAGGCGGGAUGAGUCGCUAGCGAUGGGAUCAACCGGGAUUUUUCUUUAACUACGAUUGAAGCAUUGAUAAUGUUACCUCAUGUUCUUUCUUCAUGUGAUGGUUACAUCGUAUUUCAGGUGGAGAUUGCGUCGCUCGAAAUGCGUCACUCACCUCUUUCGACUGCGACAAAUAGCACGCCCGACUCGAGGCCGCAUACUUUCCGCGAAACUUUAGUACGGAGAUACCAAGCGUACUCGCAAACGUGUCGCAAUAAAUUUACAGGAUUGUUCCAAUCUUUCGCUUAAGAUGCUUGUUGAUGAUCUUCAGAAGAUGUGUAUGUGUGAAUACAAGAAUGUGAAUACACAGUCGGAAACUAUAUUUAUCUCAAUAUGCUACUUUAGCCUCAUCUUGAUCUACCUGAAAUGAGGUCAUAAAUCAGAAACCCUGCAAUGACCCUAAUCGCAGUCUUCGGUGGAGUUCAUAUUUCAAGAAAGUAGCAGCAUGCCAUAAAUUCCUCUUCGUCUCGCGUCUCGUCAAGCUUCGCCUUCUUUUGUUGCGAUUUCUUCUUCGUUCUUAAAUUAUCGUCGAAAAUGUUCAACGACGUGCAAUUUGGUUUUACAGCAACGCGACAACUGAGAAUUGGAUCGGGCCCAUCGCUACAGAGCCCGCUCGACAAGCCUUUCUAAUCCGUUGGAGCGAGUUGAUGUUUUCGCGCCAGCUAGUAGACGUUAACGGACGUGCUGCCUAGCGGAAGGGGCAAGGACGGCCGAGGCCGACCGAGGCUGCAUCGGGGAGGAAGUCGGGGUCCGGGGAGGAAGAAAGAAAGAAAGAAAGAGAGGAGACCACCGAUCGGGGCGGACUAAACAGCAACGACCGCGCGCGCCCACGUGCGUGUGAGUCGCACCGCGCGUGGUACGAAGGCUCGGCGGCGGGUCGGUGUGUGCGUGGUUGCGCGCGAUGCCACCGACACCGGAUCUCGAGGAGUCGUGCGAGUUAGGAGCAACGUGGGAUUUUGUGAUGGAACGCGUGUGUGCAUUGCGAUGGAAUUUCGUCCUCUCGAUGCGAGAGAGAGACUGCACCGGACGAGACAUUUUCAUUCGAUGAAAUACAUUGUAAAUUAGCGUCUUAUAAAAUCGAUAAAUUCAGUUUAAAUUUUUUAAAUUUAA
rnacentral:lncRNA from 1 species